GCUAAGGUAGCAUAGUCAUUUGUUAUUUAAUUGGUAACUGGAAUGAAAGGUUAAACUAGCUUAUUAAGUUUGUGAGAUUAUAUAGUAGUUUAAAGUUAAGGUAAGAAUUCUUUAAUCUUCUAGGGGACGAUAAGACCCUAGAAGCUUAACAAGCAGAAAUUUUGUUUUAGAAGAUUGUUUGUUUUACUGGGGCGGUAAAAAUAAUUAAACUAUUUAAUAUUUAUAAGAUCCUUAAAAUAAAGAUAGAAUGGGGAAGUUACUCUAGGGAUAA
rnacentral:rRNA from 1 species